CAAAGCAUUCCCCGGUCUUUGGAACCAGCGAUGCUUAAACCGCGAAUGUGUGGGAAGUAUCGCCUGUUGCGUUCGUUCACGCGGAAUUGCAAAAACUAAAUUCGACGGAGCCUCUGCCUGCGGCGAUGAUUAAGUUCUACGUAUAAUGCCAUUGAUGUACUUUCAAUGCAGGAGAAAGAACUCUUGAUUAUCGAUUUGUUGGGUCAUGUAUAGUUGGAAAUUCUAUGUUGAAUUAAGUUGGAGAUUCUAUAUAUGUUGGAAUUUCUGUUUCCAUCUUUUCUCUCUGUCAAUUGGCAACUUGGCUUACAAUCUGCAAUAUAUGAUAUUUUAAGAGACAUUGCGUAUCAACAUGAAGUUGCCGCGCAUAGUGAAGAAGGUCGAGAAGAAAGAACGCGUCGGUCGCGUCGUGUCGCGUCUUAUCUAACGGAGUGUUUACGUGUACGUUAUAUAUAAGUCCGCGUCUAAGCUCAUCGUCGAACGAUAAAUAAACAUGAUAAUAAAGCACUCGGCGAACUUGAAAUGCCGCGCAUCUCGGCCUUUGCGUGCCAUAUCGGAAGAAGAAAGUUUCAGCGGACCUUCUUGGCUACAUCGGAGCAGCAUCAUGGCGAAUGACGGGAGAGAAGUGUAUAGAUGGGCCAGAGGGCGGAUGCCGGGGCAGAUAUAUAGGGGCAAUGGACGCGCAGUUUGACCGCAAGCUCGUUACGCCUGUCGGAAGUAUAAAUCAACCGCAAAGUUAUUCCGCCGUGCUGUCAAGAAACUCCCCUUAGGGCACCUCGCUGGAAACUGCUACCACCUUCUCAUCCGGGAUAUCAUUUGCGCAGAUAUGAAUAAUUCGGAGAAAAAUGCGUGCUGUAAAUUUCCUGAAUCAACGGGAUCGAGAGAGCAUCUCCGCCACGUGUCACUCGUCAUUCCGUCAGUCUCGUCUCACAUUCCUAUGCCGGAAGGACAUCUAUCACACCCUCGACAUUCGCAAUUGAGCGUGUUGCAUCGGCGAAGAGGUCUGACCAACGACGAGUAAAGAUAGACAGACGGUAAGACGUGCGCCUCAAGAAGGCGAGAAGGGCGAAAAGGAUGAAUCCACGACAACAAAGAUACGUACGCGUCGUUGGAAAUUCUUUUUCGUUUAGGUAUGCCAAUAUAUCGGCUUCCAUCGUCACCCUCCGACCACCUCCGGUAUACGUGACUCCCUGGAAGAAUGCACCCACCGUCCUACCCGAUCGGCCAAGCUGCUGGGGUUAAAAUAAAUAAUGUCCGCGUUCCGUCAAAAUCGAGUCGAUACGUGAAUUCCCCUCUAAAUUCACUCCGACGCUUAUCUACAUCUUUCUGUGUCUCUGAUCCUGCGAAUACGAUACUGCCUUCUCGACGUAAUAGAUGUUAGCCGUAGGUAAAAUAUAAUUAAUUGCUUCCGAUAUAGAAUAAACGUCGUUCAAACAUCAAUUUUACCUCAAAUCUGACAUUCAAGUAAAAAUUAAUUCACUGUGUAUUUACGACUGAGAGAAAAAAAUGUCUUCUUUUUUUUUUGGGAAUGUUGAGAAAUAAGACUUUCUUGUCAGAAACGUGCAUCGUGUAGCCGAGUUAACUCGCAGAGUCAUCCUUGUGAAAAAAGCAGGGGUUUUUCUGAAGGAUAACUCUGAACCGGGAAAGCUCGCGGCAGAUCUGCCGCCGAAGGAUAUUCCGGGAAGGUCGAGGUGUUCCAUGGUGGGCCCGUUGACUCUUGGCUCGUAUAAAUCAAUGUCUCUCCGUGGCACACCGCGCAUAUAACACCGUAAUGUCGUCCAAAGGCCUCGAUAUAUUCGCAGGAGGGUCGCGCCCACAGACUUCGGGGUCAUUCCGGCAUACAUCACAGACGUUGUCAACUCAAUUCUCUUCCUCGCAUAUUUAACUUUCUUUUUCACGCAUACUCGAUUUUCAUCCACUUUAUACAUCGCAAUCAAAUGAAUUCAGUAGUCAAUUUGUUCGCAAAUACACAGAGGUGAUUUUUUUUCCCAAUAUUUAUAACGAGAGAAAUAUGUACUAUCAUUCGAAAACGAGGAUGAGAAGUAUAUCGACUGAAUAAAAAUAUAUCGAUUGUUAAAAAAAAUAUUUUCGACACGCAAUCGGAGAUUGCUUCUUCGAGCAUGAUUUUAUUUUAAAAAUACAAGCUGAAAGCAUCGAAUCGCGUAGUUUUGACAGCUUUAAAGGGAUCGUUGCGGCGUGUCGUGGGCCGAAGGAUUUCAGAAUGGUUCGUGAGCGCGCGUACGACGAGGGUGAAACAAAGCGGGGGUGUUGAACACAACUGAUGUUCACUUAUUGGCGGCAUGUCUGCCGGCAUGGUGCAGUUACCCGUGGACCGCAGACGCGCGCCGAUGGAUUCUACUUCCCUCUUUCUCCCGUGCGUAUGCGUGUGUAUAUUAUACGUGUGUCGAUGCGAGUGGAACGCGGAUGUGUUUAUUUCGAUGUGUAUGUGUGUGUGUGUGUGUGUGUGUGUGGAGAGGCCGGAGGGUCGUGAAACAGGUGGCGCCGAAACCACGGCCGUGGGCUGUAGCUGUCAAAUAUUGCGGUUGCUUUAAAAAUCGAUCGAAUCCCUCGCGCCGUUACUUCCCUUCUUCUUGACGAACAAGGCGCGGUACUUAUCUCUCGCGAAAGAAUCGUCAAAAAAUAUCAGGAAUAACUAGGAAAAAUUUUCAUUGCGCGAAAAGAAAAAUAUUUUCUAUCAAUAAUUUAAUUUUUUAAGGAAAAGAGAAUUUAUUUGUGGAGUAAAAAUAGAGAUAAGCUGUAUUAAAAUGAAUAAUAAACUGAUUGUCUGAAAUUUAUGUCGCUCUUUAAUAUAAUAUAACAUUUUUUUUUUUUUUUCAGAAAUAUGAUGUUUUUAUAAUAUGUAAAAAAUAAAAAUUGCGAAAUCGCACAGACCAUUUAUGGCGCGAUUUAUCAAAAUUUAAUUUCUCAAAUAGUUUAUCUCGGUGCACUUCUAAGAUAUAAUAGUCCUUUCCUUGAAAAAAAAUAGGAUAACCUUGGAUCCGUAGUACCCUUCGGACACACAUUAGACAAUUUAAGACACGUUAUAUCCCAAUUCGCCGGUCCAUUAUCUGAAACUACAUCGGCUUCUUGGAAGAAACGCUUCUUCUGAAGCUAUUGAAUAAUAUAACGACCUGCAACCCUAUCCUCGCAUAAUAAAGAUUCGCCCAGAGCAUCGCUGCGCUUUCGCCUUGUUUUAGCCCAAUGACGAAAUUCAUUACAGCCACGAAAGGACGAUCGAGCUUCCUUUAAUCGCGUAUCCGUCAGAAAUAUUUUUCUUCGACCAGUUCAAUAUUUUUUUUUUUUCGACGUUGUAUAUGUGUAAAUAACAGCUACAUUAGAAACGUCAAGUCGUAUUGACAUGUAAUAUUCAGCAUAAAACAUUAAUGUCAUUUUAUUUACAUAAACAGUUAAUAAUAAUAAAAUCUAAUAUCUUUCUUUUCUUGUA